rnacentral:rRNA from 1 species
CAGACCUCUAAUCGGAAAAGACUACCCGCUGAGUUUAAGCAUAUCAAUAGGCGGGGAGGAA